UUUUGCACGAUAAAUGGGACCCGUGGGUAAUAAUGGUUAUGAGAUAGUAAAAUAAAAUUUUAUACCACAUAAAUGUGGUAUAAUAGUUCUUAAUUGUGACUGUGUACAAAGUAUAAUUUCGCUUUAGUUUAAAAAGAGAUAUACUACAUCACUCACAUUAUCACAUUUUUAAAAAAAUUAACUUGAAAAAACCAUUGGAUAUUUUUUUAAUACAGACAAUUUAUGUUAAUUGGAUAAUCAAGUAUUAAAUGUGUUUACAAAAGUGGAUUUUAGUUUAAGUACUCCGACGGAUUAACUGAUUGUAUCGUUUAAAAAACAAUAUGAAUAUAAUUAUAUUUACACAACAAUUGAACUGUAGUAAGCUAUGAAAGUAUCGCAACAGUUAUUCUUUUUUAAAAUUGUCUUAUCAACUGGAUGUGUCAUCGAGACAGGAAGUUUAAAAUUGAUUUGUUCUCUACGCGAGCCAUUUGUUAAAUUAUAUCAGUAAACGAUACCAUAAAAAUCAUUGUGCUCGUGUUGUCUGUAAACUUUAUAUAAUCUGUCAGUCUCAUUCACUUCAAUUGAUAAUGAAACUCGGCAAAAACCACUAAAUUGUGUCCGGGACGUAAAUCAGAUUUUAGUAAAAUAAAAUGAUGAAUAUUUAAUAGAAAUAUAAGUUUAAAAUAUUAAUUACACUAUUUAAUAAUCAAUUGUAAUGAAAUAUUAGAAAUAAA